CACAGUUUGACAGAAGAAUUGAAGAGGGCGGUCACAUUGGAGUUGCCGUUUAUGGAUGGAAGGUUCAUUUAAGUGGUUCAACAGUACCUUAUAUAAUCUGGUCUCUCAAACAUAAUAGACAGGAUGAAAAUGUCAUGGGUUUGAUGAAAGGCUUGUCAACGAGAAGAACAGAGUCAAGCAGUACUCAGUGAGUUGCCUGUGAUAGACUAACCACAGAAGAAAGAAAAAUAUGCUGAUUUUUGAAAAGGCACAGUGCUGCCUGGCAGUUUCAAGCACCUGGAUUUAAAUUCUACUAUGGCCUCUGUUCUGUGGGAGUAUCCAUGUUCACUCAUGUCUUCUUACUUUUUCUUCAGUGAAGGUUAGUUCCUGCCUUACACCGGAUGCUAGUGAGAUGACUCUAGCUCUUCAAAGCCUUGAGCAUGGGAAAGGUGCUAUAUAAAUAAAAUGUUUUAUUAUUAUUAUUAAAUUAGACUAAUAAGGUUCAGAACAGGAUUGGGUUGAAGCAUGGUGAGUAAGAGUGGGAUUGUGCACGGGUAUAUAGUACAGUGAAAUUGGUAUUUGCACGUCUCCUCAGAGACCUGGGUUCGCUUUCCGGGUUCUCCCCGUGUCUGCGUGGGUUUCCUC